rnacentral:rRNA from 1 species
ACGCUCGACACCUACGGGAAGCAGCAGUGGGGAAUAUUGGGCAAUGGAGGCAACUCUGACCCAGCAACGCCGCGUGAGUGAUGAAGGUCUUCGGAUUGUAAAACUCUUUAAGUAGGGACGAAGAAAGUGACGGUACCUACAGAAUAAGCCUCGGCUAACUACGUGCAAGCAGCCGCGGUAAUCUGAGCGGGCUGGCAAGGC